UCCUGAUUGUAUUUUAGAUGC
rnacentral:piRNA from 1 species